AUUGAACGCUGGCGGCAGGCCUAACCCAUGCAAGUCGAACGAGUGGCGGACGGGUUCGUAAUGUCUGGGCAACUGCCCGAUGGAGGGGGAUAACUACUGGAAACGGUAGCUCAUACCGCAUACAAUCGGCUGUGCCGAGAUGGGAGUAGCUAGUAGGUGGGGUAACGGCUCACCUGGGCGACGAUCCCUAGCUGGUCUGAAAGGAUGACCAGCCACACUGGAACUGAAACACGGGCCAGACUCCUACGGAAGGCAGAAGUGGGAAUUAUUGAACAAUGGGCGCAAGCCUGAUGCAGCCAUGCCGGUAGGAUGAAGAAGGCCUUCGGGUUGUAAAGUACUUUCAGCGAGGAGGCGUUACUCGAAGAAGAAUCACCGACUAACUCCAUGCCAGCGGCCGCGGUAAUUC
rnacentral:rRNA from 1 species